CACGUAGGAGGCGAGCGUUGUCCGGAAUCAUUGGGCGUAAAGGGCGCGCAGGCGGCCUGGCAAGUCGAGUGUGGAAUCCCUUGGCUUAACUAAGGAAUGGCGCUCGAAACUACCGCGCUGGAGGGCGGGAGAGGGAAGUGGAACUCUCGGUGUAGGGGUGAAAUCUGUAGAUAUCGAGAGGAACACCGGUGGCGAAGGCGGCUUCCUGGCCCGUACCUGACGCUGAGGCGCGAAAGCGUGGGGAGCAAACAGG
rnacentral:rRNA from 1 species